UACGGAGGGUGCAAGCGUUAUCCGGAAUCACUGGGUUUAAAGGGUGCGUAGGUGGCUGUGAUAGUCAGGGGUGAAAGCCCUCCGCUUAACGGAGGAGGUGCCUUUGAUACUGCACAGCUUGAAUUAGGUUGAGGUUAGCGGAAUGUGGCAUGUAGCGGUGAAAUGCAUAGAUAUGCCAUAGAACACCAAUUGCGAAGGCAGCUGGCUAGACCUAAAUUGACGCUGAGGAACGAAAGCGUGGGGAGCGAACAGG
rnacentral:rRNA from 1 species